rnacentral:rRNA from 1 species
AUUGAACGCUGGCGGCAUGCCUUACACAUGCAAGUCGAACGGCAGCAUGGAGAGCUUGCUCUCUGAUGGCGAGUGGCGAACGGGUGAGUAAUGCAUCGGAACGUACCGUGUAAUGGGGGAUAACGUAGCGAAAGUUACGCUAAUACCGCAUACGACCUGAGGGUGAAAGCAGGGGAUCGCAAGACCUUGCGUUAUACGAUCGGCCGAUGUCAGAUUAGCUAGUUGGUGAGGUAAAGGCUCACCAAGCCGACGAUCUGUAGCGGGUCUGAGAGGAUGAUCCGCCACACAGGGACUGAGACACGGCCCAGACUCCUACGGGAGGCAGCAGUGGGGAAUUUUGGACAAUGGGGGCAACCCUGAUCCAGCCAUGCCGCGUGAGUGAAGAAGGCCUUCGGGUUGUAAAGCUCUUUCGGCCGGGAAGAAAUCGCACAGGCUAUACUCUGUGUGGAUGACGGUACCGGCAUAAGAAGCACCGGCUAACUACGUGCCAGCAGCCGCGGUAA